UGCUGACAGGUGUAUAAAAUCGAGCACACAGCAAUGCAAUCUCCAUAGACAAACAUUGACAAAAUGGCCCAUAUUGAAGAGCUCUGUAACUUUCAAUGUGGCACCAUCAUAGGAUGCCAUAAAAAUGGAGCUCUAUAGGAGAAAGCCCUGCCUCCAGCUGUUUGCUUAGAAAUUCUAGGGACAAUUAGGAGGCCUGCGUCUUGUGACCGUAGCGUACGUGUAGGUAUGUACGGCAGGACCAAAUCAGAGAGAUAGGUAGGAGCAAGCCCAUGUAAUGCUUUGUAGGUUAGCAGUAAAACCUUGAAAUCAGCCCUUGCUUUGACAGGAAGCCAGUGUAGAGAGGCUAGCACUGGAGUAAUAUGAUACAUUUUUUUGGUUCUAGUCAGGAUUCUAGCAGCCAUAUUUAGCACUAACUGAAGUUUAUUUAGUGCUUUAUCCGGGUAGCCGGAAAGUAGAGCAUUGCAGUAGUCUAACCUAGAAGUGACAAAAGCAUGGAUUAAUUUUUCUGCAUAAUUUUUGGACAGAAAGUUUCUGAUUUUUGCAAUGUUACGUAGAUGGAAAAAAGCUGUCCUUGAAAUGGUCUUGAUAUGUUCUUCAAAAGAGAGAUCAUGGUCCAGAGUAACGCCGAGGUCCUUCACAGUUUUAUUUGAGACGACUGUACAACCAUUAAGAUUAAUUGUCAGAUUCAACAGAAGAUCUCUUUGUUUCUUGGGACCUAGAACAAGCAUCUCUGUUUUGUCUGAGUUUAAAAGUAGAACGUUUGCAGCCAUCCACUUCCUUAUGUCUGAAACACAUGCUUCUAGCAAGGGCAAUUUUGGGGCUUCACCAUGUUUCAUUGAAAUGUACAGCUGUGUGUCAUCCGCAUAGCAGUGAAAGUUCAGUCAGCACAGAAGAAGCAAGCUACAUCCGAGGAAAGCUCAACCAGUUCAACUGGCAUUUGAGGGGAAUCUUACAAGAAGUUUUCGGGGAGAAUGGAAUUAUUGAUUACUCAGGAAGUUCCACAGAGCAUCAAGGAGGCUUCAACAUUUCUGAAAAGGAGUGUGUGGCGCACUGCUCCCUCGCAGUCCUGACAGCCACCGUGAUGAGGAGUAAUGGAGUCUGCCCUAACCAUCCACCGCUCUGAUGAGACGCUAAUGCCACCGGCAAGACAGUGACACCACACACACGCGCACACGCAUGCACAUUCGCGCACACACACACACACACACACACACACACACACACACACACACACACACACGACAGCCUAUCUGUCAUUUGAGAUGAGCCAACAGGUCAGUCAACAAAGCCACGACUCAGGUGAGAGACACAAACACGUCGACAAACACCAAAACACCAAAUAUUGGACAUUUUCAUAGGUUUUGAAAACUAUUGGAAAUAAAGUGCACAACACGGAAGCCUCAAUGAUCACUUAGCAACGGCUGUGGUGGAGAAAGUGGCGCACUCAGAACGUACAGACCGAAUCCGCAUUGGCCCAGCUCUUUACACAAUGAGUGUACAAACAUUAAGAACACCGUCCUAAUAUUAUUGAGUUACACCCCCUUCUGCCCUCAGAACAGCCUCAAUUCGUUGGGCAUGGACUUUACAAGGUGUCGAAAGCGUUCCACAGGGAUGCUGGCCCAUGUUGACACCAAUACCUCCCACAGUUGUGUCAAGUUGAUUGGGUGUCCUUUGGGUGGUGGACCAUUCUUGAUACACACAGGAAACUGUGGAGCAUGAAAAACCCAGCAGCAUUGCAGUUCUUGACACACUCAAACCAGUGCACCUGGCACCUUAAAAUCUUUUGACUUGCCUGUUCACCCUCUGAAUGGCACACACACACAGUCCAUGUCUCAAUUGUUUCAAGGCUUAAUAAUCCUUGUUUAACCUGUC
rnacentral:lncRNA from 13 species